rnacentral:rRNA from 1 species
GACGAACGCUGGCGGCGUGCUUAACACAUGCAAGUCGAGCGGUAAGGCCCUUUUGGGGGUACACGAGCGGCGAACGGGUGAGUAACACGUGGGUGACCUGCCCUCAGCUCUGGGAUAAGCCUGGGAAACUGGGUCUAAUACUGGAUAUGACCUUUCCUCGCAUGGGGGUUGGGGUGGAAAGUUUUUCGGCUGGGGAGUGGGCCCGCGGCCUAUCAGCUUGUUGGUGGGGUGAUGGCCUACCAAGGCGACGACGGGUAGCCGGCCUGAGAGGGCGACCGGCCACACUGGGACUGAGACACGGCCCAGACUCCUACGGGAGGCAGCAGUGGGGAAUAUUGCGCAAUGGGGCGGAAGCCUGACGCAGCGACGCCGCGU